rnacentral:rRNA from 1 species
AGUGAACGCUGGCGGUAGGCCUAACACAUGCAAGUCGAACGGCAGCACAGUAAGAGCUUGCUCUUACGGGUGGCGAGUGGCGGACGGGUGAGGAAUACAUCGGAAUCUACUUUUUCGUGGAGGAUAACGUAGGGAAACUUACGCUAAUACCGCAUACGACCUACGGGUGAAAGUAGGGGAUCUUCGGACCUUGCGCGAUUGAAUGAGCCGAUGUCGGAUUAGCUAGUUGGCGGGGUAAAGGCCCACCAAGGCGACGAUCCGUAGCUGGUCUGAGAGGAUGAUCAGCCACACUGGAACUGAGACACGGUCCAGACUCCUACGGGAGGCAGCAGUGGGGAAUAUUGGACAAUGGGCGCAAGCCUGAUCCAGCCAUACCGCGUGGGUGAAGAAGGCCUUCGGGUUGUAAAGCCCUUUUGUUGGGAAAGAAAAGCAGCAGGUUAAUACCCCGCUGUUCUGACGGUACCCAAAGAAUAAGCACCGGCUAACUUCGUG